UGUGGGUUCUGUGGUCCAGUCGUCCAACUCAGUUACUACUUCAUCUAAACUCGAGUGUACAACUUCGUCAAUUGAUCAGUUUUCUAAUAUUCAGCUCCCACACACAAGCGACGAGGUACCAGUGAGCACAGCAGUUAAGACGACUGAUUCUUCACAACAAACAGAGUUAGACAUUGAUUGGUACAAAGGAAAAGAACGAAAGAAACUAGUCGACCAAGAGCAACAAACUGACUGUGCUUUACUCAGUACAUUUAACAUUGAAACGUCUCUCAGCCUUGUACACAUGCAAGACAAGGAGACCCUUACUGACCAUCCUGCUUCCCGCCGAGCUCAAUCCACCGAUACCAUUUCAUCCUAUGGUGACAAUCUAUCUGACUCGUACGGAACCUCUCCUUGCAGUCCCCUAUACGAUACUGAUUCCCAAUACGAUAUUAAUACAGAGGUAUUCAAUCGUCGGGAGUACGAAAGUCCUGCUGGAGUAUUUGACAUUUCAAUGUCACCACAUCAUGACGACAGAUACCUG